AUUGAACGCUGGCGGCAGGCCUAACACAUGCAAGUCGAGCGGAUGAAGGGAGCUUGCUCCUGGAUUCAGCGGCGGACGGGUGAGUAAUGCCUAGGAAUCUGCCUUGUAGUGGGGGAUAACGUCCGGAAACGGGCGCUAAUACCGCAUACGUCCUUAGGGAGAAAGUGGGGGAUCUUCGGACCUCACGCUAUCAGAUGUGCCUAGGUCGGAUUAGCUAGUUGGUGGGGUAAAGGCCUACCAAGGCGACGAUCCGUAACUGGUCUGAGAGGAUGAUCAGUCACACUGGAACUGAGACACGGUCCAGACUCCUACGGGAGGCAGCAGUGGGGAAUAUUGGACAAUGGGCGAAAGCCUGAUCCAGCCAUGCCGCGUGUGUGAAGAAGGUCUUCGGAUUGUAAAGCACUUUAAGUUGGGAGGAAGGGCAGUAAGUUAAUACCUUGCUGUUUUGACGUUACCAACAGAAUAAGCACCGGCUAACUUCGUG
rnacentral:rRNA from 1 species